GUUGUCACUGUCCCAAAUUUAAAGAUACGUUUAAAUUCGUAACAUUUAAAUAUAGUGGGGGAAAAUGAUUUAUGUGUUAAAACUUCUAAACUUGAGACUCUAAUAACAGUAAAAAUAAAUCUUAAAUCUAUUUCCAUGGGGAAAAUACUCUGCCUGGUAUUCUCAUACACAAAAUGUACUAAACAUGUGGAUAUUGUAAAACAAGUAUCUUUAUCAUUCUAUUAAAUUUCUUUGGCCUCCCCAAAAUCAAUGUGAACUAUGAUCAUUUUUCAAUAAAUACUUCUCAAAGGUAUUGUGCUUUUUUUAAAAAAAUCACUUAAAUCGUAGCAUACAAUCAAUAGGUACCAUCAGUCUUCCUCUUUUAUUGCUAUAGAAUAUCCUAACUGAAAAAAAGAAGAGAAAAAACUGAUCUCCAAGGGACUUAAGACAUGUUAAAGCAAACACUUCAGCUGGUUUUCUUUCUUUGAAGAGUAAUAGAAAUAAAUGUCAGAGGACUAUUACCAAGGAGUCAAAAACAGAAGGAAAUCAGGAUGAGAGACCUAGAUUCAAAAAUAAGAUGACAAUUUCCUUACAGAAGCCACCUGCUAAAAUAUCUAAAAGAAAAAGCUUGUAUUAGCUCACUCAAUCAACAGCCAAUCUACACAUCAUCCUGUGCCAGUUCCCUUUGAGCAAGAACCUUUAUUUUUUGUCUUUGUACAUUAAUGACUGCUGCUUUAGAGUACCAUAGAGAAUGUAUCAUUUAUAGCCUGUGAUGAUAGCUUACUGAACAAGUGCAUUUCACUUCUUAUGAAAUGAUAUAUCCCAAAACUUGAACUAUUAUUUAAGUAAACAAAUCCACUCACUCACAGCAUUAAAAACUCAGCUCACCUCCAUCUUCCCACUCUUAUCCUGUGCCUUCCUGUGAACUCAGUCUUCACAAGUAAUGAGGCCACUUGGAAGCAAAAUGACUUGGCUCUAAGGAUGUUAUUUUUAAUGCCUAAAACAGUGACUUGCUCAUAAUAGGUAUGAAUAAACACCUGUUGAAAUAGUUGUGAUAAAUUAAAAAUAAUUAACAUUAAUUUUUCUAUGAUCUUUACUCCUGGUGAUUAAAAAAAAGCAGAAAAGCUAACUUCAAAGUAAUAACCAUUUACUGGGCCAUGUGUUAGAUACUACACAUGUCCACCUGCCUAAAACAGUAAUAAUAUGUGAGUGAUUUUAAACUUCAAAUGCACUACAAGACAGAACUUUUUAUAUAAAGGAAUAUUUUUUCAGAGAAUUUCUUUUGAAAAUUCAAAUUUUUGUGUCCUAUAUUACAGUGAUUUUAGCUGGUAUGCUCACUCAGUGGCUUGCCUAAUUAUAAUAUUUUUUGUAUUAAGAAUUACUCUAUAAAAGCAUUUAAAAACCAUUACAUUAAAUGGGGUAGAAAGCAAGAAAAAAGAGGGAAGAGAAACCAUAUUUAUUUGGAAAAUACCACUUUGUUCUUUAUUUUGGUCUAUAUUCAGUUUAGAACAUACCCUAGCUUGGAAUGUGUGUGUGAAGGGGCAGACUGGUCAACAUGUACAAAGUCAAAGUCACAACCAGAUGGGAGGAAUAAUUCUGGCAUUCUAUUACACAGACUGAUUAUUACAGUCAACAACACUGAAGAGAGUACCUCAACGUGGCUACAAGACAGGACUCUGAAUGUUCUCAUCACUAAGAAAUGAUAAAUGAUUGAGAUGAUAGAUAACCUAAGCAUCCUGAGUUGAUCAUUUCACAAUGUGUAAAUGUAAUAAAAUACCACACUGUAUCCCAUAAUGAUACACAAAAUUAUCUCAUUAAAAUAAUUUAAAAGAGAUCCUACAAACCCAUACAAUUCAUGUGUGUCAAAUGCUAUUAUACCAAACAUAAGAAGUGACACUACACACAUACUAAAACUAGCAGGCUUAUACAAAAUAAUCUUAGAAACAAUAGUUAAGAAUAGCUAUAGUAGCUAAAUAGAUGUAAUGACUUUAUCUUCUAAAACAAUUAGGUUUCUAUCUCCAACACUGAAGGUCCUUCUACAUUACCUCAAAAUAUGUCAAUUCCUUCUCUAACCCUCAAACACAAGCAGAAUUCUGUGCUUUUCUUGCAACAAUAAUACCUAUUACAAAAUCUUAACUUUAUCAAGAAGUUCAAAUACAAAAAGAAGAAAUGACUGAGCUUAAUAAUCAUACUAAAUAUUUCACCUUCACAAUUUAAAAGUGAAAAUUUUUGAAGAAAAGGACUUAACCAAAUUAUAACCCCAUAACAUAUAUUCUUCUGUAGCCCCCAAGAUCUGGCCCAAAAAGCUCUGUGAAGAAAUUAUUAGUAACAUUACGGGGUAUCACACUAUUUUAAAUAUUUUAAUCAAAAUUGUCAAACUGACACUAGCUAACCUGAAUGCAUAUUAACAGCACCUUCAUUCCUAGAUUAACUGCAGGGAUUGAACACAGAAAAUACAUUCAGAAGAAACACGUAGGAAGUAACACUCAACUGAUGCCACUCUUCAUUAAUAGCAGUAUAAAGCAUAUUAUCUUUCUGAGCCUAGCC
ensembl:lncRNA